rnacentral:rRNA from 1 species
GACGAACCGUGCGAACGUUGUUCGGAAUCACUGGGCUUAAAGGGCGCGUAGGCGGAUCGUCGAGUCCGGGGUGAAAGCUUUCGGCUUAACCGGAAAAGGGCCUUGGAUACCGACGGUCUGGAGGGAGGUAGGGGCAUGCGGAACUUCCGGUGGAGCGGUGAAAUGCGUUGAUAUCGGAAGGAACGCCGGUGGCGAAAGCGGCGUGCUGGACCUCUGCUGACGCUGAGGCGCGAAAGCCAGGGGAGCGAACGGG